rnacentral:lncRNA from 1 species
GUCCGGAGGGGAGGGGAGGCCGUCGCCGCUGGCUCCGCCCACCGCGUGGUCCAAGGACCACCACCCGCCACCGCCGCGCGAGCGUACUAUUGCGGCCGCCCUCUGCUGCGCCUGAAGAGAGAGGCGACUCUACAAGCCUCACAGCAUGCACUGUUACUAAAAAGACGAUGCGUCCUCCUGGACCUGAGAUCUGUGUGAUCGUGGGAAAGCGACGAAAAACGAACAAAGGAACAGUAAAUGGAGUAACUUGGCUAGAAUAUGGCAGUAACUACAAGGCAUGUUCUGCUCUGGCACGAAGAAUUUGAAGAAAUGAUGCUGAGCCAGUUCCAGGCCUACCCCUUAAGGAGACUUGACACUUUCUACUUUAGCUCUCUUGGAACUUUGAGCCACCACGUGAGGAGUCUGAUUACCCAUUCGCAAGUGAUGCCUAAACAGCCCCUGUUCCUUCCAGACAACCCACCUGAGGCACCAGACACAUGAGUGAAGCCAUCUUGGACAUCCCAGUCACAGCCAAACUCACUCCUGAGUGCAUCUGCAUGAUGAACCCAGCAAUCCCCACCAUGGAGCAAAGGAUCCAUCCAGUCAACCCAAAGAAUCGUGAAAAAUAAUAAAUUGUUGUUUUAAAGUUCUUCAGUUUGGGAAUAGCUUGUUAUGCAACAAUACAUAAUUAAUACACUGGUCUCCCACUUUCAAGUUUGAUUAACUUUCAGCUAUUUUUCACAUAGCAGGCAGAGUGAUUCCAUUAAAACAUAUAUCAGAUAAUGUCACUGCACUAAGUAAACUCUACAAGGACUCUCAUCUCCCUCAGAGUAAAGGUCACAGUUGUUACAAGGCCCUACGUAAUGUGGCCCUCACCACCACUCCAUUACCUUUUUCUUAUCUACUAUUUGCUAACUUUGCUUUGUCCUCUUUUCUGUUCUGAAACAGGCUAGGCAUGGUCCUGCCUCAAGGCCUUUGCACCACCUACUCUGUCUGCUUGGAUUGUUCUUCCCACAGAUUUCUUGCUCCCUUCUUCCUUCAUGAAGAAAUGUCAUGAAAUGUCCUUCCUUCAUGAAAUGUCACCUUCUCAUUUGAGGCCUUCUGUAGUACCCCAAAGAAUGGUCCCCAAAGAUGUCCACAUCCUUAUGCCCAGAACCUGUGAAUGUGUUAUCUUAAUGGCAAAAGUGACUUUGCAAAUGUGAUUAUAUUUAAGGAUCUUAAGGAGGAGAUUAUCCUGGAUUAUCCAGGAGGGCCCAAUGUAAUCACAAGGGCCCUUAUAAGUGAAAGGGGGAGGCAACAGAGAGAAGGAGAUGUCAUAAUGAAAACAGAUCCAAGUGAUGAGAUUGCUGGCUGGGGUGGAGGUGGAGGGGGGUACAAUCCAAGGAAUGCAAGAAGCCUCUAAAAGCUAGGAAAUGUCAGGACACAAAUUCUCCCCUAGAACCUGAGGAAGAAACCCAGGUUUAUGGACACUGAUUUUAACCCAAUAAGUCCCUUUUCUGACUGCUGACCUCCAAAACUGUAAGAUAAUAAAUUUGUGUUAUUUUAAGCCAACUGAGUUUGAGAUAAUUUAGUUAUGGCAGCAAUAGGAAACUAGCACACCUUCCUAGCCAUCCUAUCUAAAAUGGCAACCCAUGUCCUUCCUGGCACUUCCUAUCUCCCUUCCAUGUUUUUUUUAAAUCAUAUAUACAAUAUAUUUUACUGUUUUACCUAUUGUCUUUUCCACCAGAAAGUAAACUCCACGUAAAUAAGGAUUGUCUGUUUUAUUCUUUGCAGUAUCUCCACUGCCUAGGAUAGCAUCUGCACAUACUGCACACUCAGUACACAUUUGUCGAAUGAGGUCAGGCGCGGUGGUUCACACCUGUAAUCCCAGCACUUUGGGAGGCCAAGGCGGGUGGAUCACCUUAGGUUAGGAGUUCGAGACCAGCCUGGCCAACAUGGUGAAACCAUGUCUCUACUAAAAAUACAAAAAGUAGUUGGGCAUGGUGGCAUGUGCCUGUAAUCCCAGCUACUUGGGAGGCUGUGGCAGGAGAGUCACUUGAAUCUGGGAGGUGGAGGUUGCAGUGAGCCAAGAUUGUGCCACUCCACUCCAGCCUGGGCAACAGAGUAAGACUCUGGCUCAAAAAAAAAAAAAAAGAAAGAAAGAAAAAAAUACAUAUUUGUUGAAUGAACAAGUGAAUGAACAAAUGUUAUGCAAAUAUAUUAUCCCUAUCUGUAGCUUGCCUUUUAAUUUUGUUAUAGUAACUUUGGUUGAAAGGAAGUUCUAAAAUCUUUAAUAUAAUCAAAUGUAUCAAUCUUUUCAACUUGUAUAUUUUAUGCCUUGUUUAAUCAACUCUGUCUUAUAUCAAAAUUAUAAAAGUAUUACCCUGUAUUUUCUUAUAAAAGUUUUGAAUCUUUUCUUUUUCCACUUAGAUCAUUAAUCAACUUGGAAUUGGUGUUACAUAGUGGUAAAUGAUUGUCCCAGGACCACAUAUUGAAUAUUUUAUCAUUUCUCCACUGAUUUGUAACAACACAGUGGUUAUAUAUCCUGUUUAUACAUGGGUCUGUCUCUAGGUUUCCGGUUCUGUUCCAGUGGUCUGUUUGCUUACCCUUCUACUAAUAGCACAUUGGCCUAAUUACUAUAACUUUAUAAUGUGGCUCAAUCUCUGGAAAACCACAUACCUCUCCCCUCCUCUUUCUACAAUAUUCUUAUAUUUUGCAACUGGCCUUUACUGUUUUGUAUUAUUUUUAACAAUACCUUAUAUACCCACAUAUAUUAGAUGCUCUUAGCAUCACUAUUUAUAGCAUCUAAAAAUUGGAAAUUAUUUAAAUGUCCACCAAUACAUUAGUUAAAUAAAUUAGGUUAUACUCACAUAGUGGAAUACGAUACUGGCUUUCAAAAGAAUGAGGUAAAUUUACAUAUCUACAUUAAAAGGUAUUCAAGAUAUCAGAAAAAAGGGCAAGUUGCAAAACAAUAUUUAGAGUAAGAACCUAUUCAUGAAUUUUUUUAAUGUAAUUUGUGUUACAUGUAGAAAAAAAUAUGGGCAAGAAUACAUCAAAAUGUUAACAGUGGUUAUAUCUGAGGAUCAGGAAUAGGAAGAACAUUCGCUUUCUAAGGUAUGUAUUCCUAUAAUUCAUGGAUAUGACAAUAACCAAGUAUUACUUUUACAAUAGAAUAUAUAGGUUUUAACUUUGGUUAAAGCAAAUAUAUCUUUUUUUUUUUUUUUUUUGAGAUGGAGUCUCGCUCUGUUGCCCAGGCUGGAGUGCAGUGGUGUGAUCUCAGCUCACUGCAAGCUCUGCCUCCCAGGUUCAGGCCAUUCUCCUGCCUCAGCCUCCCGUGUAGCUGGGACUACAGGCGCCCACCACCACGCCCGGCUAAUUUUUUGUAUUUUUUAGUAGAGACAGGGUUUCACCGUGUUAGCCAGGAUGGUCUCGAUCUCCUGACCUUGUGAUCUGCCCGCCUCGGCCUCCCAAAGUGCUGGGAUUACAGGUGUGAGUCACUGCCCCCGGCUGCAAAUAUAUCUUAAUGUUAAAUGUGUAUUUUUCUGAUGAUAAAAUUAUGAGAAAUGUUAUUUUCAUUUUUGUUUUCCAAAUUGUUUACAAUAAGUAUACAUUAUAAUAAAGGUGGAA